rnacentral:lncRNA from 1 species
GGAUAGUGUGGCAAUAGAAAGGAGAUGAGCAAAACAUCUAAGAAGAAUUAAGUAAUUGAUUAGGAAAAAUUGGCCAAGGAAUAUGGCAAUAAUUCAGUGUUAAAUAUUUAUAACAAUAAAGUCCGAAAAAAUUCUAUCUGAAAAGCUGAUUUGUAAAAAAUGCAUUGGAGCAUUUAAGGAUAUGUACUAAUAAUCAUGCUGAAAAUUUUACUUCAUUUCACUUUUUCACAAGUAAAUUUGUGAUGUUACUAUGGGAAGCAAAAGAAGUAGUGACUAAAAAAUUUAACAUCCAUUUUUCAAUCUAAACAAUAGAUGGUUCGAAUUCCUGCUGCUAACACAUAUAUCAUUAAAUAAAAUAAACUUGGAUGAAUUCUAGCUCUUAAUUUCAUCGUUAAGUCCAGAUAUGAAAAUUGCAGCUACCUUCCCCAUUUCCCGAGCAUGAAAUGUCGUGGGCUAUAGAUGAAAAAACGCGUUUGGACAUAAAAACUCCAGGACUUCGCCUCAACACAGACCCCAUUUGAAAGUAGUGAGCAAAGUGUUCUAUAAAAUGUUGGGAGCUAAGCUUAGUUGUAAAAGUACUUGUGGAGUUUAACGAGUAAAAUAUGAUGGAUCUUAAUUUCUGUAGCUUCAUUUUUUUGGUGAUUGCUGGGUUUCUCUCUGAUAGUGUUUUUGGGAAGAGAGGAAAAGUUGUGGGGGUGGUUUCUUGAGCAUUGAUGGAGAAAGGGAGAUUUCUGGGUUAGGUAAGGCCCCUUGUACAGGGGGGCCGAGCUGACCCCCUAUGAUAGGUUGGGGGCUGAUAAAUCGACUCCUCGUG